rnacentral:rRNA from 1 species
GGGCCGGUAGACUAUACAUGCAAGUCGAACGCUUCUUUCCUCCCGAGUGCUUGACACUCAAUUGGAAAGAGGAGUGGCGGACGGGUGAGUAACACGUGGGUAACCUACCCAUCAGAGGGGGAUAACACUUGGAAACAGGUGCUAAUACCGCAUAACAGUUUAUGCCGCAUGGCAUAAGAGUGAAAGGCGCUUUCGGGUGUCGCUGAUGGAUGGACCCGCGGUGCAUUAGCUAGUUGGUGAGGUAACGGCUCACCAAGGCCACGAUGCAUAGCCGACCUGAGAGGGUGAUCGGCCACACUGGGACUGAGACACGGCCCAGACUCCUACGGGAGGCAGCAGUAGGGAAUCUUCGGCAAUGGACGAAAGUCUGACCGAGCAACGCCGCGUGAGUGAAGAAGGUUUUCGGAUCGUAAAACUCUGUUGUUAGAGAAGAACAAGGACGUUAGUAACUGAACGUCCCCUGACGGUAUCUAACCAGAAAGCCACGGCUAACUACGUGCCAGCAGCCGCGGUAAUACGUAGGUGGCAAGCGUUGUCCGGAUUUAUUGGGCGUAAAGCGAGCGCAGGCGGUUUCUUAAGUCUGAUGUGAAAGCCCCCGGCUCAACCGGGGAGGGUCAUUGGAAACUGGGAGACUUGAGUGCAGAAGAGGAGAGUGGAAUUCCAUGUGUAGCGGUGAAAUGCGUAGAUAUAUGGAGGAACACCAGUGGCGAAGGCGGCUCUCUGGUCUGUAACUGACGCUGAGGCUCGAAAGCGUGGGGAGCAAACAGGAUUAGAUACCCUGGUAGUCCACGCCGUAAACGAUGAGUGCUAAGUGUUGGAGGGUUUCCGCCCUUCAGUGCUGCAGCAAACGCAUUAAGCACUCCGCCCUGGGGGAGUACGACCGCAAAGGAUGAAACCUCAAAAUAUUUGACGGGGGCCGCCACCAAGCCGGGUGGGGGAGCCAAUG